CCCUCCCCCGCCCCCUCAUGGUCGCGCGCGCCUCCCACGGGACGUGGAUCCCGGCGCCUGUCGCUGCAGGUUUGGGACCCGGGGCCCCAAGCUGAGUCUCUGCCAGUUUUCCUCCGAAGUUAGGGCACCGUCUUACUUGGCAGCUCUGCCGCAGAUACUGGAGAUACAAAAAUAAGCAAAGAAGAAGUGGUUGGCAUGGAGAUGAGAUUCAGUGGAGGAAGACUUGGCUGUGGAGAUGGCACUUUCCAAAGACGAUCACAUAGAACGUUACCUCUUCCUCAUCAAAAGGUAUUCAGUCUACGCAGACUUGUGACUCAUUUGUAACCAACAGAAUGCAGCCCAAGUGAUUUUGUGUGACUUCUGUGGCCAGAUCAUAAAAGGUGAUGCAACUUCUACCUUGUUAGUUGGGACACAUGCCUUUAGAAACUUGAAAUAAAAUGCAAGAAAUCCA